rnacentral:rRNA from 1 species
GCUCAGGACGAACGCUGGCGGCGUGCCUAAUACAUGCAAGUCGAACGCAAUCUUUUAACAAUGAGUGCUUGCACUCAGCGUUUUAAGUGCGAGUGGCGAACGGGUGAGUAACACGUGGGCAAUCUGCCCAAAAGUGGGGGAUAACACUUGGAAACAGGUGCUAAUACCGCAUCAACCGGCUGACCGCAUGGUCGGCCGGGCAAAGACGGCGUCAGCUGUCGCUUUUGGAUGAGCCCGCGGCGUAUUAACUAGUUGGUAAGGUAACGGCUUACCAAGGUGAUGAUACGUAGCCGAACUGAGAGGUUGAUCGGCCACAUUGGGACUGAGACACGGCCCAAACUCCUACGGGAGGCAGCAGUAGGGAAUCUUCCACAAUGGACGCAAGUCUGAUGGAGCAACGCCGCGUGUAUGAAGAAGGUCUUCGGAUCGUAAAAUACUGUUGUCAGAGAAGAACACGUGAUAGAGUAACUGCUAUGRCGCUGACGGUAUCUGACCAGCAAGUCACGGCUAACUACGUGCCAGCAGCCGCGGUAAUACGUAGGUGGCAAGCGUUGUCCGGAUUUAUUGGGCGUAAAGGGAACGCAGGCGGUCUUUUAAGUCUGAUGUGAAAGCCUUCGGCUUAACCGGAGAAGUGCAUUGGAAACUGGAAGACUUGAGUGCAGAAGAGGAGAGUGGAACUCCAUGUGUAGCGGUGAAAUGCGUAGAUAUAUGGAAGAACACCAGUGGCGAAAGCGGCUCUCUGGUCUGUAACUGACGCUGAGU